GAGAAAGAAUGCAAGAACUGCUAAUUCAUGCCUCCAAGUUUAACAACCUGGCUUUCUCAA
rnacentral:tRNA from 1 species